rnacentral:rRNA from 1 species
AUUGAACGCUGGCGGCAUGCCUUACACAUGCAAGUCGAACGGCAGCACGGGAGCAAUCCUGGUGGCGAGUGGCGAACGGGUGCGUAAUAUAUCGGAACGUGCCCAGUAGUGGGGGAUAACUGCUCGAAAGAGCAGCUAAUACCGAAUACGACCUGAGGGUGCAGGGGGGGGAGAGCAAGACCUCUCGCUACUGGAGCGGCCGAUAUAAGAUUAGCUAGUUGGUGGGGUAAAGGCCUACCAAGGCAACGAUCUGUCGUUUGUCUGAGAGGACGACCAGCCACACUGGGACUGAGACACGGCCCAGACUCCUACGGGAGGCAGCAGUGGGGAAUUUUGGACAAUGGGCGCAAGCCUGAUCCAGCAAUGCCGCGUGCAGGAAGAAGGCCUUCGGGUUGUAAACUGCUUUUGUCAGGGAAGAAAUCCUCUAGGUUGAUACCCUUGGGGGGAUGUCGGUACCUGAAGAAUAAGCACCGGCUAACUACGUGCCAGCCGCCGCAGUAAAAC